rnacentral:pre_miRNA from 1 species
UGUAACUGGGGCAAUUAAGACAGUUUCAUGUUGCAGAGUUAGAAAUUGACCCCAACAACAUGAAACUACCUAAACCACUCGACAGUCGAU